rnacentral:rRNA from 1 species
GACGAACGCUGGCGGCGUGCUUAACACAUGCAAGUCGAACGGAAAGGCCUUUUCGGAGGUACUCGAGUGGCGAACGGGUGAGUAACACGUGGGUGAUCUGCCCUGCACUCUGGGAUAAGCCUGGGAAACUGGGUCUAAUACCGGAUAGGACCGCACUUUAGUGUGUGUGGUGGAAAGUUUUUUCGGUGUAGGAUGAGCCCGCAGCCUAUCAGCUUGUUGGUGGGGUAAUGGCCUACCAAGGCGGCGACGGGUAGCCGGACUGAGAGGUUGGUCGGCCACAUUGGGACUGAGAUACGGCCCAGACUCCUACGGGAGGCAGCAGGGGGGAAUAUUGCACAAUGGGCGCAAGCCGGAUGCAGCGACGCCGCGUGGGGGAUGACGGCCUUCGGGUUGUAAACUCCUUUCGCCAGGGACGAAGCGUUUUGUGACGGUACCUGGAGAAGAAGCACCGGCUAACUACGUG